GCGCCCGUAGUUCAGUUGGUAGAGCGGUGGAACGGUGAUCCACAGUGGGUUCUGGGUUCAAGUCCCGGCGGUCGCC